GUUCUGGUGGAUGGUGGCCAUUGCGUUCGGGUUGGUCUUGGUGGAGGUUCCUGGAGCCACACCGAAGAAGCCGUUCUCUGGGUUGAUGGCUCUGAGAUUGCCUUCAAACACAAGAGCAGAGAACAUCAGCGAUGUCGUCUCCGACACACUCCACCUUCCAGCCCGGCAGCGACGGCUUCAUCAUGGCCAGGUUGGUCUUUCCACAGGCGCUCGGGAACGCCGCCGCGAAGUACUUCUUCUGUCCCGCCGGACUAAUUGUACAGUGAGUGCCUGGAGCUGUGUUAGGGCUCAUCUGGAUGUGAUCAGUGCUGGUCUGGACUGAGUUUAUUUCUUGCUGUAAGGAUGACGCUGCAUGUUUCUGACUGACCAGCAUGUGUUCGGCCAGCCAGCCCUCCUCUUUAGCGAUGCGGGACGCGAUGCGGAGAGCAAAGCACUUCUUCCCCAGCAGUGAAUGAAGAGCUCGUACUCUUGAGAGGCAGCGGGCAGCCGACGGAGUGCAGACAGCGCACAAACUCUCCGCUUCCCAGCGCGCUCAGCACAGCUUUACCCACACGCGUCAUGAUCCUCAUGCUGGC